CAUUGAGUAAAAUAUUAGAUCUUCUUCAAAGUCAAAAUUUUUUUCUUCUAACCAUUUUUAUUCCAUGAAAAAUACACUAAUUAAACGAGGAAUGAACACGUAUCGAGUUUGUUCCGAAUUUAUUCGCUAGUAUCAUUGUCAUCACUUUCACUUUUCACGCGAUUUGUUCUAAUAGUGGUUCUAGUGUGUAUCAAAACGCCGUCGCCAUGGAUGACACCAUGUCGACCCUAACGAAAAUGACCCGCACGGUUAAGAAACUCGAAGUGCCCAGACCCUUGAAAUCCACAACCAGUUCUGCACAUAACCGCAACUCCGUUCUAGAUGUAAAAAUAAAUUCUGUUGAUGACCUAAUCGUUUUGACGGAGGCAGUCGCAUAUCAAAUGAUGCAGGGGAAUUUUGACCGUGCGCUUCAGAGCAAUGUCUCCACUAUGUACUCUAAUCUAAAGCUAUAUGGUGCCCAGCUUGAAGCACUCUACAAGGACUUUCUUGACAGAUUUUUUGUUGUUUUUCGCAAUGGAUCUCAGGAUGAGCGACUGGAUAAGAAAACUCGUCUUCAUCUACUUGAGCUAAUAGAAUUGCGUGCUAAAAACUGGCAGGGUUCUGAUUAUAUGAGUCAGUACUACAGGCACCGUGGCACACACGCUGAGCCACUACUGGUGCCGACGAUGGAUGGCUCCGGGACGGGCGCGCUGGGCGGCUCGGUUUCCCCCACGCUGGCUGCGCCGGCUGAGCCGCCCGCGAUGCUGGCCCCGGGCGAGCUCAUAAAGCCCUCGGGCAAGUUCCCCAAGCCUACCAAAAUCCCAGGCAAGAAUUACUCCAAGGAUGAGGUCGUCAUACGCAAUGCUGACUCUGGAAAAGUGAUGGGUAUCAAGGGCAGGAGGGUGCACAUGAUCGAGGAGCUAAGUGACACGAUUAUAUCGUUUCAGCGAGUUAGCCCCGGUGCAAAGGAACGCCUUGUUCAGAUCACUGGACCUAACGAGGAAAAUGUUAACCACGCGAAACAUCUGAUCGGGGACACGAUCCGGCGCAAUGCGUCACCCGUGCGACUAGAGGGGGCACUGGAGGGCGGAGCGCUGGGCGCUUCGCGAGCCUCCCUUGACUCCACCGGCUCUGAUGAGCGUCCGCGAGAGAAGUCUCCCCACAACAAUUCCAGAGCUUUACUUCAUAGUUUCUCAACAAACGAUGCUGCAUUAGGAGAGUAUAAAUACACUGUCACUUUUGGAGAACAUUCCAUCAAGAUUACUGGCAACAAUUUGGAUCUUGUUAAGACGGCGAAACUAGUGUUGGACGAGUAUUUUGACAGUGCUGGCGCGUUGGAAGCAAUGGGACUAGGUUCCGGUGACUUCUUUACUCUGUCGCAACGUCCCGCAGCUGCUUUGCUACUACGCGACGAUUCCGCGCUCAAUGGUGCCGAUGACGAGGUGUUCGUGUCUAACGCGCCCAACAGCCUCGACGACCAACAAGCGGUGCGUUGUGUGCAGCGGCCGACGGUGACGCCGCGCCACGCCGCCCGCGAUUCUCACGCGCCGCCUCCACCGACAAGAGCGCAGGAGGCGGGUCGCGGCAGACAUAUUCCUACGAGACGCUGGUGCAGUACGCGGACUCGCCGCUGAGCAAGCUGCCGCCCGCAGGCCUCGCGGCUUUCCCGUCGGAGCUCGCGCGCAAGAGUUGCCUGGAGUUCGACAGCGUCACCUACCUGAAGCGAGGACGCGCGGCCGGCGGCGUCACCGUCGUGCAAGACGUGCCCGACUCGCCCGAACCAGAAUGACGUCACUGCCCUCCCUUCCCCCCUCGCUCGUCGCCCGCACCUGCACGCAACAGCACCGGCCACCUAUUACCAGCACAUUUGCACUUAAAUAUACUACAGAAAAUAGGCGAGCGAUUGGCAUUACGUCUCAUUGAUACGCUAACGUACUUUUUUAUAAAACAAACUAAUCUCACAUUUACAAUCUUCGAACGAAGCGAAUGACAGUUUCACUGUAGUUCAUUCUGAUGAUCGGGAGCAACGAAUCGUCGUUUAGAGCCGUCCGUUUAUAUUUGUUUGUAUGCUAUGUAACUAAUUUUAGCGGACUCAUUACCUACUAAAAGUAUUAGCUCACCAAAUUAUAUUUAUUUAUUUAGCGUCGGUAUGAAUAUACCGCUUUUUUUUUUUAAAGAUUUAAUAAUGUUAUGUUUUAUCUUAAACUUCGUGUGUGGAUCUGCUUGAUCGAAUUGUGAUAAACAUUUUCGAAUAGAAAUUUCAAUGUAAAGACACUUAAAGAUAUCAUAGUAGACUGUAUCCAACAGUCUACUAUGAUUUAAUGAUCUCUUAAGUUACAGAUGCUAAAGUUUUUUUUUUGCUUGAAAGCAAUUUACAUGCCCCUCCCUUUGAACGAAUGAUUACAAAAGCGCAAUUUUCGAUAGAUCCGUUGAAUGUACUGAGGUAGUUUUCUUCUAUUAUAUACAUAUUGACUAAAAGGAACAGCAAGUUUCAGAUGUCAGAGUGAUUCCAUUUAUUUUAAGAAGAAUGCAUGCAUUUCUUUGUAUGUUUGUAUAUUUGCUACGGGGGAUGUGAUUAAUCGAGCAUUUUUCAUGAUGCCCGGACUACAUAGAAAAUGCUGAGGUGAAUUGGGCAAUCUGAUAUAAAUAUUCAAACAAUUAUCUAGACAAUUAUUAUACUUUCCUAAAAUGACUUAUAGGGCAAUUUGUUUAAGGAAGUUUCAAACAUUUAUUUGUUUUUAUUAGGAGUUGGUUAUAAGCAGUCAA